CCCUUAGAUGUUCUGGGCUGCACGCGCGCUACACUGAUACUUUCAGCGAGUCCACCACCUUGCCUGGGAGGGUGGGGUAACCUCUGGAAAGUGCAUCGUGAUGGGGAUCGAUUAUUGUAAUUAUUAAUCUUCAACGAGGAAUUCCUAGUAAGCAUGUGUCAUCAGCCCGUGCUGAUUACGUCCCUGCCCUUUGUACACACCGCCCGUCGCUACUACCGAUUGAAUGGUUUAGUGAGAUCUUCGGAUUGGCGCCACUGCGGCUCAGCAAUGGGCUCGGUGGAUGCCGAAAAGUUGAUCAAACUUGAUCAUUUAGAGGAAGUAAAAGUCGUAACA
rnacentral:rRNA from 1 species